AUUAACGGCGCUGGCGGUAUGCUUACACAUGCAAGGUCGAACGGUAACAGGCAAAGCUUGCUUUGCGCUGACGAGUGGCGGACGGGUGAGUAACGCGUGGGAAUCUGCCUUAUAGUGGGGGAUAGCCCGGAGAAAUCCGGAUUAAUACCGCAGACGCCCUAGGGGGGAAAGUUGGGGAUCUUCGGACCUGACGCUAUUGGAUGAGCCCGCGUUAGAUUAGCUUGUUGGUGGGGUAAUGGCCUAGCAAGGCAACGAUCUAUAGCUGGUCUGAGAGGACGAUCAGCCACACUGGGACUGAGACACGGCCCAGACUACUACGGGAGGCAGGCAGUGGGGAAUAUUGCACAAUGUGCGCAAGCCUGAUGCAGCAAUACCGCGUGUGUGAAGAAGGCCUGAGGGUUGUAAAGCACUUUCAAUCGUGAAGAAAAGUUGUUGGUUAAUAACCUUCGACCUUGACAUUAUCGAUACAAGAAGCACCGGCUAACUCCGUGCCAGCAGCCGCGGUAAUACGGAGGGUGCAAGCGUUAAUCGGAAUUACUGGGCGUAAAGCGUACGUAGGCGGUUAUUUAAGUCAGAUGUGAAAGCCCCGGGCUUAACCUGGGAACUGCAUUUGAAACUGGCAAGCUAGAAUAUGGUAGAGGGGGGUAGAAUUUCUAGUGUAGCGGUGAAAUGCGUAGAUAUUAGAAGGAAUACCAGUGGCGAAGGCGGCCCCCUGGAGCCAAUAUUGACGCUGAGGUACGAAAGCGUGGGUAGCGAACACGGAGUUAGAUACCCUGGUAGUCCACGCCGUAAACGAUGUCAACUAGCCGUUGGGACCUUGAGGUCUCAGUGGUGCAGCUAACGCGUGAAGUUGACCGCCUGGGGAGUACGCCGCAAGGCUAAAACUCAAAUGAUCGAUGCGG
rnacentral:rRNA from 1 species